GAUGAACGCUAGCGGCAGGCCUAACACAUGCAAGUCGAGGGGCAGCACAGGUAGCAAUACUGGGUGGCGACCGGCGGAUGGGUGCGUAACGCGUAUGCAACCUACCAUUGAUUGGGGCAUAGCCCGAAGAAAUUCGGAUUAAUACUCCAUAAUAUUCAUCAAAGGCAUCUUUUAUGAAUUAAAGCUUUUGCGAUCAAUGAUGGGCAUGCGUGACAUUAGUUAGUUGGUGAGGUAACGGCUCACCAAAACGAUGAUGUCUAGGGGUUCUGAGAGGAUUAUCCCCCACACUGGUACUGAGACACGGACCAGACUCCUACGGGAGGCAGCAGUGAGGAAUAUUGGUCAAUGGACGCAAGUCUGACCAGCCAUGCGCGUGCAGGAUGACGGCCCUAUGGGUUGUAAACUGCUUUUCCACGGGUAAGAACCCUCCGACGUGGUACGGAGACUGACGGUACCGUGGGAACUAAGCAAUCGGGCUAACGUCCGUAGCCC
rnacentral:rRNA from 1 species